CCUACGGGAGGCUGCAGUGGGGAAUUUUCCGCAAUGGGCGCAAGCCUGACGGAGCAAGACCGCGUGAGGGAGGAAGGCUCUUGGGUUGUAAACCUCUUUUAUCAGGGAAGAAGCUCUGACGGUACCUGAUGAAUCAGCAUCGGCUAACUCCGUGCCAGCAGCCGCGGUAAUACGGAGGAUGCAAGCGUUAUCCGGAUUUAUUGGGCGUAAAGCGUCCGCAGGUGGUUUUACAAGUCUGCUGUCAAAGCGCGAGGCUUAACCUUGUACAGGCAGUG
rnacentral:rRNA from 1 species